rnacentral:rRNA from 1 species
UGGGCAACCUGCCCUCAGCUCUGGGAUAACUCCAAGAAAUUGGGGCUAAUACCGGAUAUGACUGCUGACCGCAUGGUCUGGUGGUGGAAAGAUUUAUCGGCUGGGGAUGGGCCCGCGGCCUAUCAGCUUGGUUGGGUGGGGUAGUGGCCUACCAAGGCGACGACGGGUAGCCGGCCUGAGAGGGUGACCGGCCACACUGGGACUGAGACACGGCCCAGACCUCCGUACGGGA